AGUGAACGCUGGCGGUAGGCCUAACACAUGCAAGUCGAACGGCAGCACAGUAAGAGCUUGCUCUUACGGGUGGCGAGUGGCGGACGGGUGAGGAAUACAUCGGAAUCUACUUUUUCGUGGGGGGUAACGUAGGGAAACUUACGCUAAUACCGCAUACGACCUACGGGUGAAAGCAGGGGAUCUUCGGACCUUGCGCGAUUGAAUGAGCCGAUGUCGGAUUAGCUAGUUGGCGGGGUAAAGGCCCACCAAGGCGACGAUCCGUAGCUGGUCUGAGAGGAUGAUCAGCCACACUGGAACUGAGACACGGUCCAGACUCCUACGGGAGGCAGCAGUGGGGAAUAUUGGACAAUGGGCGCAAGCCUGAUCCAGCCAUACCGCGUGGGUGAAGAAGGCCUUCGGGUUGUAAAGCCCUUUUGUUGGGAAAGAAAAGCAGCAGGUUAAUACCCCGCUGUUCUGACGGGACCCAAAGAAUAAGCACCGGCUAACUUCGU
rnacentral:rRNA from 1 species